UGAAAAUGGAAUUUGCAUUGAAUCUAAUAGGAAUACUCUCAUUUUUAUGCUCAGUAUCGUUGCUUAUCAGUAUAGCAAACUAACACAACUAACCAUAGCAUCGUUGUCGCAAGGAUACACAAACAUGAAUAGCAUAACAUAAUUAGCACGGCUUGAAGGAUUCAAGAGCUAUAGGAAAGUAACGUGUAUAUCGAACAUUGCGAAAACGACGUUUCGUUGGAAGUAUUACACUAUAUAGUAUUUCAGCUUAAUAAAAAGAAAAGAAACAAAUAAAUAAUUAAUUUACAUAGCAAUAAUCCAUGUACAUUUCAUUUAAGUAUUUCUAGAAUCUUACAUAGAUAAUAAUGACGAGAAAACCUACAUAUUUCCAUAUUUCACUGGUCAGGGUAAAUAGUGUGUGCAUCAAGCGUUAACCCUAUGUUUGCAAAC